rnacentral:rRNA from 1 species
GACGAACGCUGGCGGCGUGCUUAACACAUGCAAGUCGAACGAUGAAGCUGGAGCUUGCUCCGGUGGAUUAGUGGCGAACGGGUGAGUAACACGUGAGCAAUCUGCCCUUGACUCUGGGAUAACUGCGGGAAACUGUAGCUAAUACCGGAUACGAGACUUGGAGGCAUCUCCAGGUCUGGAAAGAAUUUCGGUCAAGGAUGAGCUCGCGGCCUAUCAGCUAGUUGGUGAGGUAAUGGCUCACCAAGGCGACGACGGGUAGCCGGCCUGCGAGGGUGACCGGCCACACUGGGACUGAGACACGGCCCAGACUCCUACGGGAGGCAGCAGUGGGGAAUAUUGCACAAUGGGCGAAAGCCUGAUGCAGCAACGCCGCGUGAGGGAUGAAGGCCUUCGGGUUGUAAACCUCUUUUAGCAGGGAAGAAGCGAAAGUGACGGUACCUGCAGAAAAAGCACCGGCUAACUACGUGCCAGCAGCCGCCGUAA